AUACGUAGGGGGCGAGCGUUGUCCGGAAUGAUUGGGCGUAAAGGGCGCGUAGGCGGCGCGGUAAGUCUGGAGUGAAAGUCCUGCUUUCAAGGUGGGAAUUGCUUUGGAUACUGCCGCGCUUGAGUGCAGGAGAGGUUAUCGGAAUUCCCGGUGUAGCGGUGAAAUGCGUAGAGAUCGGGAGGAACACCAGUGGCGAAGGCGGGUAACUGGACUGCAACUGACGCUGAGGCGCGAAAGUGUGGGGAGCAAACAGGAUUAGAUACCCUGGUAGUCCACACUGUAAACGAUGAAUGCUAGGUGUAAGAGGUAGCGACCCCUUUUGUGCCGGAGUCAACACAAUAAGCAUUCCGCCUGGGGAGUACGGCCGCAAGGUUGAAACUCAAAUGAAUUGACGGGG
rnacentral:rRNA from 1 species